AGAGCGAACGCUGGCGGCAGGCCUAACACAUGCAAGUCGAGCGCCCCGCAAGGGGAGCGGCAGACGGGAGAGUAACACGUGGGAACGUACCCUUUGGUUCGGAACAACACAGGGAAACUUGUGCUAAUACCGGAUAAGCCCUUACGGGGAAAAAUUUAUUGCCAAAGGAUCGGCCCGCGUCUGAUUAGCUUGUUGGUGAGGUAACGGCUCACCAAGGCUACGAUCAGUAGCUGGUCUGAGAGGAUGAUCAGCCUCACUGGGACUGAGACACGGCCCAGACUCCUACGGGAGGCAGCAGUGGGGAAUAUUGGACAAUGGGCGCAAGCCUGAUCCAGCCAUGCCGCGUGGAUGAUGAAGGCCCUAGGGUUGUAAAGUCCUUUCGACGGGGAAGAUAAUGACGGUACCCGUAGAAGAAGCCCCGGCUAACUUCGUGCCAGCAGCCGC
rnacentral:rRNA from 1 species